GGGAGAGAGAGGAGGUAAAACUCAUUUUGACCUUUCUCCUGCCCUCCAGUUUCGAAGGCGCUGGCUGAGCUCAGCUGCAAGCCCGUUGACAGAACAGCCCAAGAGCAGCAGCCAGUGGGAACCAGUCGGCUCCUGGCACCACGCAGGCCAGCAAGGAGGGAAAACAGAUUUCAGAGGAGACAGGCGAAGCUUGGACAAGCGCCCAGUCAGCUUUUGGCCAGUUGCUUUCAGGAAAUCAGGUCCUUCUCUGACAUGCCUGGAAACAGGAGGGCUGCAGGAGAUCCAUAUUCUGACUCAGUGGACAGACUAUGAUGCUGCUUCUUUUGAAGUCAGAGGAAUCAAUAGGUGGAAGCUGGAGAGAUGCUUCUGAUCAUCGUGACAGUAAAUCAAUAAUUAAUUGACUUCUCAGCUUUGUGAUUCCUGUUCUUGCAACAAGAGAGCAUGAAAAGACUUACCUGGAGUUGGAAUUUGAGACUGGCAUUUCCCAAUAGAGGGUCCACUGAAAUCUGGACCAGUAGGCUGGAGAGUAAGACAGCAAAGUGUAAGAAAAGAUAGUUUCUGGAACAAAGGGUGGCCUGUGUGCUGUGUUCUCUGCAUGUUGGAGAUGCUCCGCCCACACUCAGAAGCACCAGCACUGCUGAAGUCAGGGUCAUUUGUCCAGAAGAUCCGACCUUGGAUCCCAAGAUCUAGAGAAGGAUUCAGAUGGGGGGUCCAGAGAGGGUUUCACCUCCAGAGGCUGACAGCAGGUGCCAUGGCUGGUGGCAGAGUCCUUGGACACUGCAAAGGUCAAAUGUUUGAAGUCCGGAUGGGAAGCAGGAAGAAUAAUGAGGUCAAGGAACCAAUGCGUUGCUGAAGAGACAACUUUUCAAAGAAAUGUUGGGUCUGCAGUUCAUAAUGUUUACAACAAAAAGAGAAGCCCUUGGAAUUCUAGACCUGAGUGGAAAGAAGCAAUGGCUGGGCUAACAGAGCCAAAACUUCAUUCACAGUUGAACAGUCCUAGUCUAAAAUGUAUAUACAAUAUGAAAUAAUUUGAUAUCAAACUUUAAAAAAAAGAAAGCAUGUAAUUUUCUUUGUUCUAUCCUCCGAUCCCCAUA